rnacentral:rRNA from 1 species
UACGAAGGGGGCUAGCGUUGUUCGGAAUCACUGGGCGUAAAGCGCACGCAGGCGGGUCGUUAAGUCAGGGGUGAAAUCCCGAGGCUCAACCUCGGAACUGCCUUUGAUACUGGCGACCUUUGAGUCCGGGAGAGGUGAGUGGAACUCCGAGUGUAGAGGUGAAAUUCGUAGAUAUUCGGAAGAACACCAGUGGCGAAGGCGGCUCACUGGCCCGGUACUGACGCUCAGGUGCGAAAGCGUGGGGAGCAAA